GACGAACGCUGGCGGCGUGCCUAAUACAUGCAAGUCGAGCGAGACUCUUCGGCGUCUAGCGGCGGACGGGUGAGUAACACGUGGGCAACCUGCCUGUAAGACUGGGAUAACACCGGGAAACCGGUGCUAAUACCGGAUAAUCCUUUUCCUCUCAUGAGGAAAAGCUGAAAGUCGGUUUCGGCUGACACUUACAUAUGGGUCCGGGGGGCAUUAGCUAGUUGGUGAGGUAACGGCACAACAAGGCGACGAUGCGUUGGCGACCUGAGAGGGUGAUCGGGCACACGGGGACUGAGACACGGCCCAGACUCCGACGGGAGGCAGCAGUAGGGAAUCUUACACAAUGGACGAAAGUCUGAUGGAGCAACGCCGCGUGAGCGAUGAAGGCCUUCGGGUCGUAAAGCUCUGUUGUUAGGGAAGAACAAGUACCGGAGUAACGGCCGGUACCUUGACGGUACCUAACCAGAAAGCCACGGCUAACUACGUGCCAGCCGCCGCUGUAAAAC
rnacentral:rRNA from 1 species